rnacentral:rRNA from 1 species
CCUACGAGGCGCAGCAGUGGUGAAUAUUGCGCAAUGGGCGGAAGCCUGACGCAGCGACGCCGCGUGAGGGAUGAAGGUCUUCGGAUCGUAAACCUCUGUCAGCAGGGAAGAACGGUCACUGUGCUAAUCAGCAGUUAAUUGACGGUACCUGCAAAGGAAGCACCGGCUAACUCCGUGCCAGCAGCCGCGGUAAUCCGGAGGGUGCGAGCGUUACUUGGCAUUACUUGGCGUAAAGCGCUCGUAGGCGGUAUGUCAAGUCAAGGGUGAAAUCCCCGCGCUCAACGUGGGAACUGCCUUUGAAACUGGCAAACUGGAGUGUGUGAGAGGAUAGUGGAAUGCCAGGUGUAGGAGUGAAAUCCGUAGAUAUCUGGAGGAACAUCAGUGGCGAAGGCGACUAUCUGGCACAUAACUGACGCUGAGGAGCGAAAGCGUGGGUAGCAAACAGGAUUAGAUACCCUUGUAGUC